AUGGCUGCUUUUCACCACAUUCUCGGUGCAUUUUUCCAGGCACUUAUCAUCGCUGAGGUGAUCCUGGGGCAAAGUGAUAGGGAGGUGCUCCGCGAACUGAAGAGCUUCCUGCAGGCGCAAAACCCGAUCAACCGUGGCGCCUAUGACACUUGGUCGGAGGCCGAGGUCUCGCCAUGCCGUCUCCAAGGCGUUGGGUGUGACGCGGCCGGCCGUGUCAGUUAUCUCGACCUCUCGAGUUCCAGCAUCGCUGGGCCGUCCUUCGGUAACUUUUCACGCCUCAACCGGCUCACGCACCUCGAUCUCUCAGCAAACAGUAUUACUGGCCAACUCCAUCCAGAUCUCAAGCACUGCCGGGGUCUCCAGUACCUCAACUUAUCAAGCAACCUCAUUGGUGGCGCCCUUGAUGUGUCCACCCUGACCAACCUGCGCAUACUGGAUCUAUCCCAGAAUCGGUUCCAGGGUGACAUUAGGACAAACUUCCCGUCCAUCUGCCGCAACCUCAGUGUUAUUGCUGUAUCCAGCAACAACCUCACAGGCAGGAUAAGUGGGCUGUUCAGUGGCUGCUCCAAGCUUAGUGAUGUUGAUCUGAGCUGGAACCAAUUCACCGGAAAGGCUGUAUGGAAAGGGGUCGAAAGGCUUACACGGUUCACGGCCACAGCGAACAACCUCACAGGGGUCAUUCCUUCCAGCACGUUUCCCAAGGGGUGCAAGUUGCAGUCUCUGGAUAUCUCCAGCAACCAACUGUCUGGCAGUUUCCCAAAUUCAAUUGCCAAUUGCACAAGCUUGAAAACCCUGUCCCUAUGGAACAAUAGCUUUGGUGGAUCUAUACCACCAGGAAUUGGCUCGAUUGCGGGACUCGAAGAGCUGGGUCUCUCGAGCAACCAGUUCCAUCACAAGAUACCACUUGAGCUGAUGAACUGCACCAACCUAAAAAAUUUGGAGAUCAGUCGCAAUACCUUUGGAGGGGAGGUGCAACAAGUCCUUGGAAAAAUAACCAGCCUGAAGAGCCUUGUGCUUCAAGGGAAUAAUUACAGUGGGGGCAUUGUCUCCUCUGGCAUUCUACAGUUGCCAAACCUCAUCUAUCUUGACCUCAGCUUUAACAAAUUCUCCGGCAAGCUGCCUAAUGAAAUUGCUAGCAUGACAAGCAUCGAAUCCCUCGUGCUUGCAAAUAAUAACUUUUCUGGUAAAAUCCCACCAUCAUAUGGUCGGCUCUUGAGGCUCCAAGCAUUGGACUUAUCGUACAACAACCUCUCCGGCGAGAUCCCACCAGAGAUUGGUAAUUUGGCAUCGCUUCUCUUGUUGAUGCUGGCUGGGAACCAACUUUCAGGAGAGAUCCCAAGAGAGAUAGGAAACUGUACUAGCUUGCUCUGGCUCAACCUUGUCGGAAACCAGAUAUCCGGCAAAAUCCCGCCUGAGAUGACAAAUAUGGGGAGGAACCCCGGUCCAACCUUUGCCAAGAACCGAAGAAAUCCUUCACUGAUCAAGUCUGCCACGAGUAAAUGUUUUGCUGUUUACCGGUGGGUGCCAGCAAGUUAUCCAGAGUUUGACUUUGUUGAAUCAAUGAUGAUGUCUCAGAAGAACUGCCUAACCAUGUGGAACAGGCUCCUCAUGGGGUAUGACAUACUUCCAGUAUCUUCACCAUUACGAACAGCCUUAGGAUAUGUUCAGCUGUCAGGAAACCUACUGAGCGGGGAGAUACCCUCCACAAUUAGCGCAAUGAAGAACAUUAGCUUGCUCCUGCUUGAUGGCAACCGGCUCUCUGGACACCUACCAUCAGAAAUAAGUUCGAUGCAACUGGUUGCUCUAAAUUUAUCCAACAAUUCUUUUUCUGGUCAGAUUCCAUUCACGGUGGGUCACCUGAAUUCCCUCGAGAGCCUCGAUUUGUCCUGGAAUAAUUUCUCCGGCGCACUCCCAUCAAGCCUAGGCGAGCUGUCUAAACUAAGUACAUUGAACGUUUCGUACAACCCGCUUCUCUCAGGAGAGGUCCCAAACACUGGGCAACUCUCCACUUUCAAUGAGCAGUCUUUCCUUGGUGAUCCACUCUUAUCUUUCCACUCACCUGCGGCUCCCAGCCCUCAUUCAAAUGACAACCAGCCCUCCACGUAUGGUACAGAAAAGCAUCCUACAAAUGAAGAGAUCACUGUGUUAGUAGUUACAUUCCUUGUUUGCUUCUCUGCCACCUUUGUUAUCAGAGAGCUUCAGAGCUUCGUGUAUCUGUACCAUGUUGCAUUACGUAAAAUUACCAACUUUAGGAAUCUUUGA
rnacentral:rRNA from 1 species